rfam:Megamonas hypermegale ART12/1 draft genome.
AAAUUAAUAACAGGGAGCUAGUAAACUGGCUGAGAGGAAGUUGUGAACUUCGACCUAUAACCUGAUUUGGAUAAUGCCAACGUAGGAUAAUAAUUAUGAUGUAU